ACAAGCGGAGGAGCAUGUGGUUAAUUCGAUGAUACGCGAGGAACCUUACCUGGGCUCGAACGUAAGAUGACUGUAGGUGAAAGCUUACAUCUCUUCGGAGCAUUUUACGAGGUGCUGCAUGGCUGUCGUCAGCUCGUGUCGUGAGAUGUUGGGUUAAGUCCCGCAACGAGCGCAACCCUUGCCUUUAGUUGCCAGCAGUUCGGCUGGGCACUCUAAAGGGACUGCCGGUGUUAAACCGGAGGAAGGUGGGGAUGACGUCAAGUCCUCAUGGCCUUUAUGACCAGGGCUACACACGUACUACAAUGGCCGAUACAAAGGGCAGCGACACUGCGAGGUGAAGCCAAUCCCGUAAAAUCGGUCUCAGUCCGGAUUGGAGUCUGCAACUCGACUCCAUGAAGUUGGAAUCGCUAGUAAUCGUGGAUCAGCAUGCCACGGUGAAUACGUUCCCGGGCCUU
rnacentral:rRNA from 1 species